UACAAGGCCCGGGAACGUAUUCACCGCAUCAUUGCUGAUCUGCGAUUACUAGCGACUCCGACUUCAUGGGGUCGAGUUGCAGACCCCAAUCCAAACUGAGACUAGCUUUAAGGGAUUCGCUCCACCUCACGGUCUCGCACCCCUCUGUACUAGCCAUUGUAGCAUGUGUGAACCCCUACACAUAAGGGGCAUGAUGAUUUGACGUCAUCCCCACCUUCCUCCGAGUUGACCCCGGGCAGUCUCUCACCAGUCCCCACCAUAACGUGCUGGCAACAUGAAAAAGGGGGUUGCGCUCGUUGCGGGACUUAACCCCAACAUCUCACGAACACGAGCUGACGACAAACCAUGGCUCCCCCUGUAUACAAGCCAAAAGGGAAACAACAUCUUUUGCCGUCUUCUGUUUAUGUUAAGCCUAGGAAAGGU
rnacentral:rRNA from 1 species